rnacentral:tRNA from 1 species
GCAUUGGUGGUACAGUGGUUAACAUAGCUGCCUUCCGAGCAGCUGACAUGAAUUCGAUUCCCAGCCAACGCA